GAAGGGCGUCCCUUUUUCCCCGCGCGCGAGGGAAGCGGCGGUUGAGGGAGACGCUGAGGGCAGAAAAGCGCGGGAAGAGCGGAGCGAACCAAGAAAUCGUUAUGUCAAAAAAAAGAAUUGAUUCUGAAAUAUUGAAACUGAAAUAUGGAUUGACAACUUGGCAAAAUACUUUUGUGAAGCAAGAGCAGCUAAAUAUAUCAUCAUUGCGAGCAAGUUUUCAAGUUGCCAAGCUGAUAGCAUGCACUGGCAGACCCUUUGUAGAGGGAGAAUUUGUUAAAGAGUGCAUUCUUUUUGCUUCCAAAGAGAUGUGUCCAGAGAAGACUGAUUUAUUUAGUACAUUGAGUCUUUCAGGAUGUACAGUUACACGUAGGAUUGACGAAAUGGGGGGAAAUUUGCAUCAACAUUGGCAAAACUCCUCAAAAAAAACUUUAUUUUUCAUUGGUACUUGACGAAAGCACUGAUGUUCAUGAUUCUGCACAAGUAAUUUCCAUUUGUGGGACAAAUGAUAAUUUUGAAGCCACAGAGGAGCUUGCUGCACUGCAAAGCACCAAGGGAACAACAACAGGAGAGGAUAUCUUUGAAAAAGUUUGCCAAACUGUGUGAUUUGGAUCUGGACUGGCUAAACUUGCCAGUGUGACAGCUGAUGGUGCUCCUAGCAUGAUGGGGUCUAUGAGAGGAGCGGCUGCAUGCAUUAACCAAGAGAUGGACAAACACAACCAUUCACAUCCAAUAGCCAUACACUGCCUCAUCCACCAACAAGCACCGUGUUGUAAAAAAUCACUGAAGUUUGACUCUGCCAUGAAAACUGUCGUAUCUUGUGUUAACUUCAUUAGAGCUUAUGCACUAAACCACAGUUAGUUUCAGGAA